CUACGGGCGGCUGCAGACGAGAAAACUUUGCAAUGUGCGAAAGCACGACAAGGUUAAUCCGAGUGGUUUCUGCUAAAGGAACCUUUUGACAGUCCUAGAAACACUGUUGAAUAAGGGGUGGGCAAGUUCUGGUGUCAGCCGCCGCGGUAAGACCAGCACCUCAGGUGGUAAGGAUGAUUAUUGGGCCUAAAGCAUCCGUAGCCGGCUCUGUAAGUUUUCGGUUAAAUCUGUACGCUCAACGUACAGGCUGCCGGGAAUACUGCAGAGCUAGGGAGUGGGAGAGGUAGACAGUACUCGGUAGGAAGGGGUAAAAUCCUUUGAUCUAUUGAUGACCACCUGUGGCGAAGGCGGUCUACCAGAACACGUCCGACGGUGAGGGAUGAAAGCUGGGGGAGCAAACCGGAUUAGAUACCCUCGUAGUC
rnacentral:rRNA from 1 species